CGUGACCGUGGAAUACGUUUGCAAUGCCGUUGGUGCCGCGACUACGUGCAUGACUCCGCGGUCGCCUCCUUUUUGUGCGGGUUUGUGCGAACGGUGCGUGUAUAUAUAUGUACGAUAUGGCUCCGCCCACCAACUCCCACAGGGUUUUUUUCUUUUGUUUACACCGUGUGGUCCGCCGACGAGGCCUUCGUUUGCCGGUGCUGACAGACAGGUCGACCUUCGACGCUACACGGUAUGCUACGUUGAAUGGUGCGGAACAUUUGCAUUGCGAGCGGAACCUUUUGACAAGAAAGAGAGAGAGAGAAAGACAUCUGCUAGGCCUACAGCUGAAAACGAACGUAUCCUCGCCCAACAGCGGCAGCAGCAGCAGCAGCAGCAGCUUUCCCGACAUUUGCAUCACCCGCAACGGCCGUAUGCGCAAGCGCCG